rnacentral:rRNA from 1 species
UUUAAAGAAAGCGUAAUAGCUCACUGGUCGAGUCGGCCUGCGCGGAAGAUGUAACGGGGCUAAACCAUGCACCGAAGCUGCGGCAGCGACACUUAGGUGUUGUUGGGUAGGGGAGCGUUCUGUAAGCCGUUGAAGGUGACCUGUGAGGGUUGCUGGAGGUAUCAGAAGUGCGAAUGCUGACAUAAGUAACGAUAAUGCGGGUGAAAAACCCGCACGCCGGAAGACCAAGGGUUCCUGUCCAACGUUAAUCGGGGCAGGGUGAGUCGACCCCUAAGGCGAGGCUGAAAAGCGUAGUCGAUGGGAAACAGGUUAAUAUUCCUGUACUUGGUGUUACUGCGAAGGGGGGACGGAGAAGGCUAGGCUGGCCGGGCGACGGUUGUCCCGGUUUAAGCGUGUAGGGGGAGUGACCAGGUAAAUCCGGUUGCUUAUCAACCCUGAGGCGUGAUGACGAUGCACCACGGUGCAGAAGCAGUUGAUGCCAUGCUUCCAGGAAAAGCCUCUAAGCAUCAGGUAACAUUAAAUCGUACCCCAAACCGACACAGGUGGUCAGGUAGAGAAUACUCAGGCGCUUGAGAGAACUCGGGUGAAGGAACUAGGCAAAAUGGUGCCGUAACUUCGGGAGAAGGCACGCUGGCGUUAGGUGAAAGGACUAGCUCCUGGAGCUGAAGCCAGUCGCAGAUACCAGCUGGCUGCAACUGUUUAAUAAAAACACAGCACUGUGCAAACACGAAAGUGGACGUAUACGGUGUGACGCCUGCCCGGUGCUGGAAGGUUAAUUGAUGGGGUCAGCCGCAAGGCGAAGCUCUUGAUCGAAGCCCCAGUAAACGGCGGCCGUAACUAUAACGGUCCUAAGGUAGCGAAAUUCCUUGUCGGGUAAGUUCCGACCUGCACGAAUGGCGUAAUGAUGGCCAGGCUGUCUCCACCCGAGACUCAGUGAAAUUGAACUCGCUGUGAAGAUGCAGUGUACCCGCGGCAAGACGGAAAGACCCCGUGAACCUUUACUAUAGCUUGACACUGAACAUUGAGCCUUGAUGUGUAGGAUAGGUGGGAGGCCUUGAAGUGUGGACGCCAGUCUGCAUGGAGCCAACCUUGAAAUACCACCCUUUAAUGUUUGAUGUUCUAACUCGGCCCCAUGAUCUGGGGUGAGGACAGUGUCUGGUGGGUAGUUUGACUGGGGCGGUCUCCUCCCAAAGAGUAACGGAGGAGCACGAAGGUUAGCUAAUCACGGUCGGACAUCGUGAGGUUAGUGCAAAGGCAUAAGCUAGCUUGACUGCGAGAGUGACGGCUCGAGCAGGUACGAAAGUAGGUCUUAGUGAUCCGGUGGUUCUGAAUGGAAGGGCCAUCGCUCAACGGAUAAAAGGUACUCCGGGGAUAACAGGCUGAUACCGCCCAAGAGUUCAUAUCGACGGCGGUGUUUGGCACCUCGAUGUCGGCUCAUCACAUCCUGGGGCUGAAGUAGGUCCCAAGGGUAUGGCUGUUCGCCAUUUAAAGUGGUACGCGAGCUGGGUUUAGAACGUCGUGAGACAGUUCGGUCCCUAUCUGCCGUGGGCGUUGGAAGAUUGAGAGGGGCUGCUCCUAGUACGAGAGGACCGGAGUGGACGAAUCACUGGUGUUCGGGUUGUCAUGCCAAUGGCAUUGCCCGGUAGCUAAAUUCGGAAGAGAUAACCGCUGAAAGCAUCUAAGCGGGAAACUUGCCUCGAGAUGAGUCUUCCCUGGGGCUUAAAGCCCCCUGAAGGAACGUUAAAGACUAUGACGUUGAUAGGCUGGGUGUGUAAGUGCAGCGAUGUAUUGAGCUAACCAGUACUAAUGAUCCGUGAGGCUUAACCUUACAACACCGAAGGUGUUU